CCUACGGGCGGCAGCAGUGGGGAAUAUUGGACAAUGGGCGAAAGCCUGAUCCAGCCAUGCCGCGUGUGUGAAGAAGGCCUUCGGGUUGUAAAGCACUUUCAGUGGGGAAGAAAGCCUUGGGGCUAAUACCCUCGAGGAAGGACAUCACCCACAGAAGAAGCACCGGCUAACUCCGUGCCAGCAGCCGCGGUAAUACGGAGGGUGCGAGCGUUAAUCGGAAUUACUGGGCGUAAAGCGCGCGUAGGCGGUCUGAUAAGCCGGUUGUGAAAGCCCCGGGCUCAACCUGGGAACGGCAUCCGGAACUGGCAGGCUAGAGUGCAGGAGAGGAAGGUAGAAUUCCCGGUGUAGCGGUGAAAUGCGUAGAGAUCUGGAGGAAUACCAGUGGCGAAGGCGGCCUCCUGGACUGAGACUGACGCUGAGGUGCGAAAGCGUGGGUAGCAAACAGGAUUAGAUACCCCAGUAGUC
rnacentral:rRNA from 1 species